UAAUGUAUCAAUGGCAAGAAUAGGACCAGAAUAAUCCAGGCACAUGGAUGUGAAGCAACAGAUAGGCCCUAGCCCAUAAAAACCAAUGACCUCAGCCAAGCUUAGGCAUCUUUCAUAAGACAAUAGUUAGUUUAUUGCCAUAUAAACUCGAUGAGACAUAUAUUUCUGCGACAUAUAUUUUCUCAUAUAUAGUUCCACAAAAUUAAAUAGAAAUAGUAGCAUCACUUGCGAAAUUGGGAAUCGUUAGCAAGAAAUUGCAUAGUUUUGACAUGUGGUAUCGAUCGCUCAUGUUGAACUAAACUACACCAACAAAAAAAAAAUCAAAUAUUGGAGAACAAGCUCACACGGCAGGCAGUCGGCAGCCAAGCUGACGCAGAAGUCUUGAUUAAUUGAUGAUUGAUAUGAACAAACAAAUUUUGUCAGAUAACUGCUCAUGAGAACGAUCCAGAUAAAGAAAGACAGAUUACAAAGAAUAUUUACUCAAGGAUUAGAAAACAAAAUUAGAAUAAAACUCUGCUAUAGAGAAGCUGUAUAAUGUUGAAAUUCGUAGAAAACAAAUUGCAAAUGAUAAGCUUGUCGGUAAUAUUCGUGUGCAAAGUACAACUCAUUAUGCCAUUGGCAGUUACACCACAAAAUAGAUGUACUGGUAUUUGCAUUACAUCCUAGCCUCAAGGAUACACAAUAUGUGAAACUCAGGAAAUAUUUGACCCAAAAAGAAUAAUGCAUUGAAAUAUGCCCGCACCAAUCACCCAUCCAAAAAAAUGGGGAUAGAUUCAGCUGGAAAUUACACUUGAUAAAUAAUUAUAAAAAAGAAUUACAUAUCGUAAGAGGAGAUUGUGGAGGCCGCAAAAGCUGCAAAUGCACAUGAGUUCAUAUCAUCAUUGAAGGAUGGAUAUGAUACUGAUUGUGGAGAGCAUGGUAUACAACUCUCAGGAGGACAGAAGCAAAGUAUUGGUGCACUGCUAACUUGUAACUUGUUGAUGUGAUUAGUCAAUUUUCUACUUUACAACACUGCUUCUGUUAGUACCAAUAAUUUGUGUUGCCAUUUAUACCAUGCUGAUACAAUGCUCCUAGAUUUUUUUUUCUGAACCACAUGACUACUAGAUUACUCUGCACUUAUAAAUUUCCUUGAACUUAAUUGAUAAUUUCCCUGAAAUGAUAAUUUCUUUCAUUUGUUUGCAUGCACAAGAAUUGUGUCACCUAGCCACCUCACUAUAUGUAAGGGCAGGCAAGGCAAGAAGAGAUUACCAGCUAGCAGCUAUAUGCUUCUUCAAGGUUCCUUCAAGCAAUCAACAGGUAACUGGAAUAUACUUUUCGUGUGCAUGACCUGAACAGACAAAGAAAUGGGAUCUCGCUGAACUAAAUUAACUUUGCCAGUACCAUGGUAUUUUUUUUAUCACAAUUGCGAUUGCUUCUGCUAGCUCAGUCCAAAGAUGCAUCUGCAUUUGUCUGUGCAUAUACAUAGUUGAUUACUUUGCAAUUCAGGGAUGCAGUGGGAAGGACGAGGUCACGAACAAACUGCAAGAACGAAUAC